CAUUGUUAAGAAGCAGCAAAUGUGUGGGCACAUCUGACAGGUGCUGUAGUCUGGAUCUGCCAAGCGCUGAGGAACACAUCAGAGGGCUUUGCUCCAAGCAAAUGAUGAGAAUGAUGAACUUAUGGAUGACAGACUCCCUCCUGACCGGAAAGAGCCAACUUACAAGGCAAAGAGACAAGUCUGAAGCCCUGGGGAAGCUAGCCAGCCUUCCAGUUUCUGCCGGCGCAGAUCUUCAUGGCCUCAUGGUUCAACUUAGUGGAAGAGAUUUCUUUCAACAGUUGCAGAAGAGGGGCUUCUACACUGAAAUGGGCUACUGAGGGUAAUUGUUGCUGCCAGAGGACUUAUCUGCAGAACUCGACAGGACUACUAAUCUAGAAGAAAAUGGCAAAAUUCUGGAAGAUCUUGCUGAAGAAUCACCGUGCAGUGAGAAGAACAUGGAACAGUCAGUUACAAGACCUGAAUUUGAGUCCUAGAAACCAUCAUUUACUAGCUACUAUGACUUCAGGGAAGUUGGCUAGCAUAGUUUAAAAACCCAUAAAAUAAUAAUGAUGUUAAUAAUAAUAAAAAUAAUAAUCCCCAACUUGCAUGGUUGUUUCGAGGGUUUGAGAUGGCAUACCUAAAAGCAAUUUCAUUUAUAGAAAGGUAACUUUAUAAAUAUUACUUAACUUCCUGGUUAAAUAAUACUUUGGCUGUAGGGACAUGUUAGUUAUAACAUAAUGUGUGCGUAUAGGGUGGCAAUUUUCCAAAAAGUGAACACAAUAAAAUUCAUUAAUGGUUAAAUUCCA